AGAAAGAAAGAAAGAAGAAGAAAUUGUGGUGAGAAAGGGAAGAAAUUUCAAGGAGAGAGGACGAAGAAAAGAAGGAAUAGAGGGAAGAAGAGAGAGAGAAAAGCAUAGAAAAACCUGGAAUUCUGGAAUUUUGGAAGACUCCCAUGAAUCUGCUUGGAGUUGUGACUCCAGCAGUAAAUAUUAGAAGCAAACCCAACUUAGAUCAGGGCUCUGAUACCAAUCUGUCACAUAAUCCUCGAGUUCGGGUUUCUGCUCCAAGAAUGAAAAAGAAAGGAGAUGAGAUAAUAGAAGAAAUAGGGAUGAGAAAUAGAAAGAGAGAAUAGAUGAAAGAAGAAUAAUAUUUUCUUUAUUGAUCAUAACUGACUCCUUUCUCAUAUUACAGUUCUAUUUAUAGUCAACCUCUCAACUAAGUCUGACUUAUGAACAACCUUCAGUUAUUUCCUUCUAUUUACAAUUGCCCAUAACAGUUAUUUCCCCUAUACAUUCCUUCAGCUCCUAUACUUCUUACUAUCAUAACAUCCCCCUUCUUAAGGGUAUAAUUCAGACUUGUUUUAUUAGCUUGUAAUGUACAUAAAAAGUGCUACCAAUAUGAACAAUUUGUGCAGGUACCGUAUAGAAUUGUAGAACUGUAUAUGUACACUAGGAAUCAGAGCUUAUACUAACCAAUCUAGGCUGGCAGAAGAUAAUUACAUUAAUACUUCACAUGAGAAUUUAUAGGCAGCACUUUCUUGCAAGUUGCAAAACUUGGCAGUAGUUAUGAAACAACAUUAUUUGAUGCAGCUCAUCACCCUGUAUUUGAAAGGUUUCCUCUCACCAAAGCUUCAUGCAGCUGUGACCUUGCAGCAGAUGUCAAAGACAUCAUCUAAGGGAGCAUGGUCGCCUGUCCCUUCAUCUUUCCUGGCAUACAAUAACUCCUUCCCUUUGAAUAAGAACAUCCCUCCCUGAAAACAACACAACAGAUCAGAUAGAUACAAGAAUAGCAAAAGGAGUAGAAAGGCCCAUAAAUGUACUCAGUUACUCAUGAAAGACUGCACCUUUGAUCUGUAAAUACCUUCUUGGCUUGUUUACAAAUGAAUCAAGCUCAAGAUUACUUUUAGACUUGUUUAUUAAGUGAGCUAAACUUGAACAUCGUCAGGGUUGUCAAUGGAACUCUCAAAUUUUAGUUAUUUCCUCUUGUAUAAUUUUUUAUCACACUGAGAUUGAACAGAUUGGCUUAAUUUGUUUGCAGCCCUAACAGAAUAAAAUCAAUUGCCAGACCUACAAAUAAACUAACAUAAAUUCUAGGUCACCAAACAUGAAUAAACUAGACCUGUUGCAGAACACCACUUCUAUCAUCUGGAGUGGCUUCAACAGUGUAGUUUUUGACAGCUUUUCGCAGAGCAUCAAACCUUGAGAACACCUUAGCACUAGCAGGAUUGAAGAAUGUACGUCCAAAGCCAUAGUAUAGUCCCAAUACAUCAUAGGCCUUGCGGUCAGGAUCAGCGUAAAGGCAAUCCAUCGGAAACGGUAACUGAUCAUAGUUCAUACAAUAUCAAUUAAAAACUAAUCAGCCAAAUCAACAACAGCAAUAAUAGUCAAAAGAAGAAAAAAUAUGCAAAACAAGGCAUGGUCCCUAAAAGAAAUCUGAUCUUUGAAUCCCCACCCUGCCAAGGAAAAAAUUAUGGAUUUUGAUAAUAUCUGUUACGUAAGAAAUCUAAGAAUCUCCAGUCUUGAGAAAGAUGCUACAAUUUCAGCUUUAGUAGGAAAACUGGCAAAGCAAACUAAAUUGGAAAAUAAAUCCAAAAACAACUCUAAGCAAGAAGCAGAAGGUAAAAUAUGAAUUACAAAAAUUUCUUUUCAAUAUAAACUAAUGAGAUCCCUAUGAUACGACUUGAAUAAUUGAAAAGUACAUUGCAAACUGACUCAGAAUACUGCUUGUACUAGCUAAAAAAGACACAGAAACAUUAGUAUAUACAAGAUGAAUGUGGAGACAGCUUUGAUUUCAAUCCUACAAACAUGUUACCAAAACCCAGUGUUAAAUGCAUAAUAAGCCCAACUUUAAGGCAAUUCUCAAACAUAGUAACUUUAUAGUAUAAGCAUCUGCUGGUACCAAACUAAUUCUCAAACCCACACACAC
rnacentral:misc_RNA from 1 species